rnacentral:antisense_RNA from 1 species
GAUCCUCUCUGUUGUGAUUCAUCCCCCCCAGGCCCUACAGUUUCUCCUUCCUGACUCUUACAUUUCUUUGGAUGGCAUCACUAUUAAACUAACUACUAAGUCUCUAUUGGUCAACCAUGUUGGCCAGGCUGGUCUUGAACCCUAGACCUUGUGAUCCACCCGCUUCGGCCUCCAAAAGUGCUAGGAUUACAGGCAUGAGCCACCGUGCCCGGCCCAGAGAGUCUUAAAUACCUGUCUCCUCCCAUAGUUAGUUGCCAAGCACUGUGGAUUCUACCCCUCAGGGUCCAGACACCCAUUUUCCUUCCCACUGUUCCCUCCCCAUGGAGAAGCCUGUGGCUGACUGACAGCUCAACUUGGAGAAGGUGUUACCUGGGCCAGGUGGGGAAGGUAGGGUUGUUUGCAGAGCAAAGAAGUGAAGCCUAUUCAAUGUGAAAAAGAUGAGGGCGAAGACCUUUAUGAUGAUCCAAGUAAUGAACACACUGGAGAAAGUCAAACAGUCAAAACAAUGUCCCAGACUCCGUGAAGUUCCUGGGUAGAGAAGUAGACAGACGUACACCAUACCUAAUAAUUGGAGGUCCAAGAGAAUGAGAGAAUGGCAGAAAGAACUUUAGAGCAUGGGUAUGAUGGCUAGAGCUUGAGCAGCCAUUGUGGACAUCAGAUGAACCUGAAAGUGAAAACUAUGAGCUGAAUAUGACAAAGC